GCAGGGAUGAGAGUUGAGGGUGGUUGUAAUAGCAGCGAUGAGAGGUAAGGGUGGUUGUAAUAGCAGGGAUGAGAGUUGAGGGUGGUUGUAAUAGCAGGGAUGAGAGGUGAGGGUGGUUGUAAUAGCAGCGAUGAGAGGUGAGGGUGGUUGUAAUAGCAGGGAUGAGAGGUGAGGGUGGUUGUAAUAGCAGGGAUGAGAGGUGAGGGUGGUUGUAAUAGCAGGGAUGAGAGGUGAGGGUGGUUGUAAUAUCAGGGAUGAGGGGUGAGGGUGGUUGUAAUAUCAGGGAUGAGGGGUAAGGGUGGUUGUAAUAGCAGGGAUGAGAGGUGAGGGUGGUUGUAAUAGCAGGGAUGAGAG
ensembl:lncRNA